CCUACAAUCCCGGCCGUUGGUGCUCGCGUCGUGGUUCACACGCCGCAGUUCAACGGGAAGCAGGACCAGCGAGCCCUCUCGGGCAAAGCUUCAACCUGCGCUGCCCCCGCAACGGUCAAGCAGUCGGCAUCGACCUCGAUGCCGCCUUCGUCAAUCAGCCACUGGGCGCCCUGAAACAGGCGCCUGGGAAGGCGACGAAGGUCGAGCUGCCAGCCCGGAUACCGGCCAACGAGGCGGCCGCCGCA
rnacentral:ncRNA from 1 species